CCUACGGGAGGCAGCAGUGAGGAAUAUUGGUCAAUGGACGAGAGUCUGAACCAGCCAAGUAGCGUGAAGGAUGACUGCCCUAUGGGUUGUAAACUUCUUUUAUAUGGGAAUAAAACGUUCCACGUGUGGGAUUUUGUAUGUACCAUAUGAAUAAGGAUCGGCUAACUCCGUGCCAGCAGCCGCGGUAAUACGGGGGAUCCGAGCGUUAUCCGGAUUUAUUGGGGUUAAAGGGAGCGUAGGUGGAUUGUUAAGUCAGUUGUGAAAGUUUGCGGCUCAACCGUAAAAUUGCAGUUGAAACUGGCAGUCUUGAGUACAGUAGAGGUGGGCGGAAUUCGUGGUGUAGCGGUGAAAUGCUUAGAUAUCACGAAGAACUCCGAUUGCGAAGGCAGUUCACUGGACUGCAACUGACACUGAGGCUCGAAAGUGUGGGUAUCAAACAGGAUUAGAUACCCUGGUAGUC
rnacentral:rRNA from 1 species